rnacentral:rRNA from 1 species
CAGCCGCCGCGGGAAUACGAAGGGGGCUAGCGUUGUUCGGAUUUACUGGGCGUAAAGCGCACGUAGGCGGAUCGAUCAGUCAGGGGUGAAAUCCCAGAGCUCAACUCUGGAACUGCCUUUGAUACUGUCGAUCUGGAGUAUGGAAGAGGUGAGUGGAAUUCCGAGUGUAGAGGUGAAAUUCGUAGAUAUUCGGAGGAACACCAGUGGCGAAGGCGGCUCACUGGUCCAUUACUGACGCUGAGGUGCGAAAGCGUGGGGAGCAAACAGGAUUAGAUACCCCUGUAGUCCCUGUCUCUUAUAC